rnacentral:rRNA from 1 species
GCGGCCUAUCAGCUUGUUGGGGAGGUAACGGCUCACCAAGGCUUCGACGGGUAGCUGGUCUGAGAGGAUGAUCAGCCACACUGGGACUGAGACACGGCCCAGACUCCUACGGGAGGCAGCAGUGGGGAAUCUUGCGCAAUGGGCGAAAGCCUGACGCAGCCACGCCGCGUGCGGGAUGAAGGCCCUAGGGUUGUGAACCGCUUUUAACAGGAACGAAAAUGACGGUACCUGUAGAAUAAGGUGCGGCCAACUACGUGCCAGCAGCCGCGGUGACACGUAGGCACCAGGCGUUGUCCGGAUUUAUUGGGCGUAAAGAGCUCGUAGGCGGUUCAGUAAGUCGGGUGUGAAAACUCUGGGCUUAACCCAGAGACGCCACUCGAUACUAUUGUGACUAGAGUUCGGUAGGGGAGACUGGAAUUCCU